AUACGGAGGGUGCAAGCGUUAAUCGGAAUUACUGGGCGUAAAGCGUACGUAGGCGGUUCGUUAAGUUAGAUGUGAAAGCCCCGGGCUUAACCUGGGAACUGCAUUUAAAACUGGCGGACUAGAGUUGAGUAGAGGGGAGUGGAAUUUCAGGUGUAGCGGUGAAAUGCGUAGAGAUCUGAAGGAACACCAGUGGCGAAGGCGACUCCCUGGACUCGAACUGACGCUGAGGUACGAUAGCGUGGGUAGCAAACGGGAUUAGAAACCCCAGUAGUCC
rnacentral:rRNA from 1 species